AAACAAUUUGUCUACUGCCAUGGCAGAAGCCUUUGGCAUUCAAAAUUACUAAAAUAAACUGUCCUGAGCCACUAUUUUAGUCAUUCGGCAAGAACAAGACCUCCACCAGAAACAACUAGAUAUUCUGUUUAUGUUGCAGAGGACUCUGAAUUUCAUAGUAUUUGUGUCACCCAAUAUUCUGUAUCUGAAAAUGUAACCUCCAAUUUUUCUCAGUAUAUUAAGGGUGCUUUAGAUGCAAACUAUGUUAUGACAGCAUAAUAUUACCAUGGCAAUUUGAAAAUCAAUCAGACUAAGGUGUCAAUCUUGACAACCUCUUUUUUCUUCCAGGUAUUGACUGAAAAUUGGAAAAACUUGACAGCCAAAUUAACUAAUCCUUAUAAUGGUAUUACACUGACCCUACUGUUUAUAAUAAUGAUAAUAUUUUCUUGUGUUGUGAGACACUUAUGUAACCAUAACAAGGCCACCAAACAAAAAACAGCAAUGCCGGCUAAAGUUCUGCAGCAUAGUCAGAGGGGGACGAUGUGGGGACAAGUGCAUGGAGAACUGCAUACAUGGCAUAUGUUAAGGGCAUCUGAGUGGCAAACCACUCCCCCAUGCUAGGCAUGUGAGUGGCAAACUGCUUAUCCUGUAGGCACAGCCCUGGGCUGUUGUAGUCCCUGCACUUGCUCCAUGGCACACUUGUUGAUUGGUCACUGCAAGGACAGUUGACCAGAAAUUGUAUUGGUGGCUGCCUGUUUUUACAUAUAAUGUGUGAAAGGAACAAGACACAAUAUAUACACAUUUCUCUAUGAACUAAGUAAAAAAAGAUUCAAUUAAUUUAGGAUCAUCUUGAAACCAAAGUAAUUGUUUCUUGCUUUAAGAUAGAAGCAAAAACUGAGAAUAAAUAUUUCUUACACAGGUGAUAGUUUGUUGAUAAAUGAGUGAUGAGGGUAGGGAAUGCAGAUGGGUCUAUGAAAAAGAAUAAUUAUGGAUUUGGUGUGUUUUUGGACUGGGUUGUCAAGUUCAGCUCUUGGAGGUCCUACCACUAUAAGCUUGUUUAAAUCUUAGUACUUUCCCACCCUUCUGAAAAUCCAACUUGCUUUCUGUAGACUCAUGCUGCCACAUUGUUCAUAGGUGUUCAUAUGUGUCUCUUAUAAUACAGUAGUCCCCUCAUUCCACUUCUUAUCCUCAUGUGUGGGCUCUCUCUCGUCCAGUGAGGAGGUCCAUAGAACAAGGUAGAGGAGAGUGUGGCUGAAGAGUCACUAAUCAAGACCUCCAGAGACCAAGCAGGAAGAAGGUCUGAAUUUAUUGUGCAGUUACCAUGUAUAUAUACUCAGGUAGUAGCUAAGCAGAUUACCACCAGCCACCAAUGAAAUUUCUGGCCAACUGUCCUUGCAGCAACAAAUCAAGGAGUGGGCCAUGGAGCGAGUGCAGGGACUGCAACAUGUGACCUCAUGUCCAGGGCUGUGUCUACUUAGUGAGCGGUUUGCUGCCCACAUGCUUAGCAUGGGGGAGAGUUUUGCCACACAAAUGUCCUUAAGUAUGCCAUGUGUGCAGUACUCCAUGCACUUGUCCCCACACACAAAUUUCUAUAUAUUGGACUUGUUUAAGAAAGUUUUUAAGUAAGAGAUGUGGUUCUUGUUUGGUGUCCAUGUGCAUUUAUCUAUCCUAAGGCACAUGUAAGAAUCUAUUCAUGGGUUCCAUCUGCAUGGAUAAUACUAUGAAUGACUAUUUGCACAAUAUAUAAUUUGUGAAUGGAGUAGACACUGCUAGCCAUCUCCUUUAAGUAUAGGCAUCCUAAUGUACUAUAUUUAUCAAGCUUCCUUUUAGUUCUCUACUCAGGUGAUUAAGCUUUCUACAAGAAAAAAUUCACACAUGCUACUGCCAGGCAUACAUAUACAAUAUUCCACACUUCUCCAUGUUCUUUCCAUUUCUAACUUUCUGGGAUAUAGAUUAUCCAAGAUAGACUAUUAUUUUUUAUCCAUUAUGCCUAAAAAGUUCUAUGGUCCCAAUGACAAAGUUUUCAUUAAUUUCAGUUCAUAAAUUGUGAAGUGUACCAUGGAGUUCACAUCUUAUUACCACCUGCUUCUAUGCUCUGAAUUGUUACUAAAGCUUGGGUUGCUCCUAUAAAGUCACAUUGUAAAUUUUUUGAGGAGUAAAUAAUCUCAUUUGGUAUAUAUUAAAUGGAUAUAAAAAUGUUUCUUCCCCUG
rnacentral:lncRNA from 1 species